rnacentral:rRNA from 1 species
UUGGCCUACGGGGGGCAGCAGUGGGGAAUAUUGCACAAUGGGGGAAACCCUGAUGCAGCAACGCCGCGUGAGUGAAGAAGUAUCUCGGUAUGUAAAGCUCUAUCAGCAGGGAAGAAAAUGACGGUACCUGACUAAGAAGCCCCGGCUAACUACGUGCCAGCAGCCGCGGUAAUACGUAGGGGGCAAGCGUUAUCCGGAUUUACUGGGUGUAAAGGGAGCGGAGACGGUGUGGCAAGUCUG